rnacentral:tRNA from 1 species
AAAAUAUUGGCAGAAUAUUGCAUUAGAAUUAGAAUCUAAACUCAA